UAGGGAAUCUUCCACAAUGGACGCAAGUCUGAUGGAGCAACGCCGCGUGAGUGAAGAGGGUCUUCGGAUCGUAAAACUCUGUUGUUAGAGAAGAACACGAGUGAGAGUAACUGUUCAUUCGAUGACGGUAUCUAACCAGCAAGUCACGGCUAACUACGUGCCAG
rnacentral:rRNA from 1 species